UGGUGAAGCGGUGAGCAGAGCAAGAUGGAGGCAAGCCAGCGCAGGGCUCGGCCGGAGCAGUGGCUUGUGUGGCGAUGCGGCCAAUGUGACGAGGUGUGGUGAUCGGAGCGAGCUCCGCGGCGGCACGGACCACACGGAGGGGCGACGCUGAGUCUGCUUCGGAGUCGGGGCCUUCUUUCUUUUGUGUUUCCCUUGGCUCCCUGAUCCACUUCCUGAUUACCUCCAUGACCUGCAGUUCCAAUUAGUAUUACUCCAUAACUGAUUUUGCUUCAUUGGCAUCAUAUGACCCCUUCAUGAUUGUUGUCCGCUAGUUUGUAGCUUCAGUGUGCAGUCAUGGAAAUUUCUUUGAAGUGAGCAGCGGUAGGCCAUAAUGACUCGGUUGCCCAUGGUGUGAUAACGUGGAAAACUUCAAC
rnacentral:lncRNA from 1 species